rnacentral:lncRNA from 10 species
GGCAAUUAGAUGGCCAGGCACCAAGGAAAAUGAUUCCCUGGGCCAAUCCUCACCACAACCCUAGGAGGCCCUGGCAUCCUUGCUACUGUCUGCCUCUGUGAACAUGACUACUCUAGGUACCUCAUGUAAGUGGAAUCACACAAUAUUUGUCUUUUUAUGACCGACUCACACGUCCUCAAGGUUCAUCCGUGUUGGAGACUGUGUCAGAAUUUCCUAGAGUUAGAGUUUUGCAAGAUGGAAGGCGUUCUGAAG